rnacentral:rRNA from 1 species
CGUUAGCGGCGGGCCUAACACAUGCAAGUCGAACGCGAAAGGUCUUCGGACUGAGUAGAGUGGCGCACGGGUGAGUGACACGUAGGUAAUCUACCCUUUGGCGGGGGAUAACGUUCCGAAAGGAGCGCUAAUACCGCAUAAGACCACGGAGUCUCCGGACGCUGUGGGAAAAGGUGGCCUCUUCUUGAAAGCUACCACCGAAGGAUGAGCCUGCGUCCCAUCAGCUAGUUGGUAAGGUAAUGGCUUACCAAGGCGAAGACGGGUAGCUGGUUUGAGAGAAUGAUCAGCCACACUGGCACUGGAACACGGGCCAGACUCCUACGGGAGGCAGCAGUGAGGAAUAUUGGGCAAUGGGCGAAAGCCUGACCCAGCCACGCCGCGUGAGUGAUGAAGGCCCUCGGGUCGUAAAGCUCUGUGGAGAGGGACGAAAACCCUGGUUUCAAAUAGGCUCCAGGCUUGACGGUACCUCUUUAGCAAGCACCGGCUAACUCUGUG